UGCCAGACUCCUACGGGAGGCAGCAGUGGGGAAUAUUGCACAAUGGGGGGAACCCUGAUGCAGCGACGCCGCGUGGGUGAAGGAGCACCUCGGUGCGUAAAGCCCUAUCGGCAGGGGAGAAAAGCGAACAGGUUCGCCUGGACGGUACCUGACUAAGAAGCCCCGGCUAACUACGUGCCACCAGCCGCGGGAAUACGUAGGGGGCAAGCGGUAUCCGGAUUCACUGGGUGUAAAGGGAGCGUAGACGGCGACGCAAGUCUGGAGUGAAAGCCCGGGGCCCAACCCCGGGACUGCUCUGGAAACUGUGCGGCUAGAGUACUGGAGGGGCAGGCGGAAUUCCUAGUGUAGCGGUGAAAUGCGUAGAUAUUAGGAGGAACACCAGUGGCGAAGGCGGCCUGCUGGACAGUAACUGACGUUGAGGCUCGAAAGCGUGGGGAGCAAACAGGAUUAGAUACCCGAGUAC
rnacentral:rRNA from 1 species